rnacentral:lncRNA from 1 species
GUCGGGGUUGUCGGGCUGCGCCUUGAUCAGCCAUUUCAUCUAUCACAUCUGGACCAUCACUUCACUGCUAGUGUUAAAGGAUUUAGACCUGCAAAAAUGGAACCACUUCAAAAUAGAUUUAGGGGAACUGGAAUGAGCGAAGUUCCUAAGAAAAUAAUCCCUAGCUAAAAGAACAUCAACAUCUGUAGAACGUGAAGAACCUUCCACAUUUAUCUCUGUUCAGUGUAACUGAUACUCAGUGUUGCUCUGAUUGAAGGAGACCGUGCAUUAUCUUAUUUGCCCUCUUCAAAGAUGCAUUUGAUUGAGAAACAAAUCCUUCUUUUUGUCUUUUUUUUUUGUUUCCAUUUAAGAGUUAACCCACGAAACUUUCUGGCAGACCAGACUUUGAAUCCAG